AAUUGUGAGCCACCUAAGGUCCCGAUCCUGGGAUGCAUCUUGUGCAGUUAUGUUUCAAUCUCACAUCACUGGGCAAAGUGUGUCUCAAGAUCCUGGCCACAUCGUCGCAACUUCAAA
rnacentral:precursor_RNA from 15 species